rnacentral:pre_miRNA from 1 species
AGAAGGAACAACCACAGUGGUGGGGCCAGCUCUGGAGCCCUGGAUUCAGCUCCCGCAGGAACUACAGAGCUCUCCGUCUGCAGGGCCUGGAGGCUCCAGGGUGGG